rnacentral:rRNA from 1 species
GAUGAACGCUGGCGGCGUGCCUAAUACAUGCAAGUCGAACGAGGUGCUUUUGUAGCAAUACGAGAGUACCCUAGUGGCGAACGGGUGAGUAACGCGUUGGUGACCUACCCCAAAGUGUGGGAUAACAGUCCGAAAGGACUGCUAAUACCGCAUGUGGUUAUUGGAUCUAGAAACCGGCAACUAAAGGAGCAAUUCGCUUUGGGAGGGACCUGCGUCCCAUCAGCUAGUUGGUGAGGUAAUGGCUCACCAAGGCGACGACGGGUAGGGGACCUGAGAGGGUGGCCCCCCACAAUGGAACUGAAACACGGUCCAUACACCUACGGGUGGCAGCAGUAGGGAAUAUUGCACAAUGGGCGAAAGCCUGAUGCAGCAGCGCCGCGUGUGUGAUGAAGGCCUUCGGGCCGUAAAGCACUUUUCUGGGAGAUGAGAAAGGACAGUAUCCCAGGAAUAAGUCUCGGCUAACUACGUGCCAGCCGCCGCAGUAACAC